UGUUUCGACACACUAUCAUUAACUGAAUCCAUAGGUUAAUGAGGCGAACCGGGGGAACUGAAACAUCUAAGUACCCCGAGGAAAAGAAAUCAACCGAGAUUCCCCCAGUAGCGGCGAGCGAACGGGGAGCAGCCCAGAGCCUGAAUCAGUGUGUGUGUUAGUGGAAGCGUCUGGAAAGGCGCGCGAUACAGGGUGACAGCCCCGUACACAAAAAUGCACAUACUGUGAGCUCGAUGAGUAGGGCGGGACACGUGGUAUCCUGUCUGAAUAUGGGGGGACCAUCCUCCAAGGCUAAAUACUCCUGACUGACCGAUAGUGAACCAGUACCGUGAGGGAAAGGCGAAAAGAACCCCGGCGAGGGGAGUGAAAAAGAACCUGAAACCGUGUACGUACAAGCAGUGGGAGCACGCUUAGGCGUGUGACUGCGUACCUUUUGUAUAAUGGGUCAGCGACUUAUAUUCUGUAGCAAGGUUAACCGAAUAGGGGAGCCGAAGGGAAACCGAGUCUUAACUGGGCGUUAAGUUGCAGGGUAUAGACCCGAAACCCGGUGAUCUAGCCAUGGGCAGGUUGAAGGUUGGGUAACACUAACUGGAGGACCGAACCGACUAAUGUUGAAAAAUUAGCGGAUGACUUGUGGCUGGGGGUGAAAGGCCAAUCAAACCGGGAGAUAGCUGGUUCUCCCCGAAAGCUAUUUAGGUAGCGCCUCGUGAAUUCAUCUCCGGGGGUAGAGCACUGUUUCGGCAAGGGGGUCAUCCCGACUUACCAACCCGAUGCAAACUGCGAAUACCGGAGAAUGUUAUCACGGGAGACACACGGCGGGUGCUAACGUCCGUCGUGAAGAGGGAAACAACCCAGACCGCCAGCUAAGGUCCCAAAGUCAUGGUUAAGUGGGAAACGAUGUGGGAAGGCCCAGACAGCCAGGAUGUUGGCUUAGAAGCAGCCAUCAUUUAAAGAAAGCGUAAUAGCUCACUGGUCGAGUCGGCCUGCGCGGAAGAUGUAACGGGGCUAAACCAUG
rnacentral:rRNA from 1 species